ensembl:ncRNA C29F4.7 ncRNA
UAAAAAGAAAUAUAUAUAUAUAUAUAUAUAUAUAUAUAUAUAUAUAUAUAUAUAUAUGUAGAUACAUA